rnacentral:rRNA from 1 species
AUUGAACGCUGGCGGCAGGCCUAACACAUGCAAGUAGAACGAGCGGCGGACGGGUGAGUAAUGUCUGGGAAACUGCCUGAUGGAGGGGGAUAACUACGGGAAACGGUAGCUAAUACCGCAUACCAUCAGAUGUGCCCAGAUGGGAUUAGCUUGUGGGUGGGGUAAUGGCUCACCAAGGCGACGAUCCCUAGCUGGUCUGAGAGGAUGACCAGCCACACGGGAACUGAGAAACGGUCCAGACUCCUACGGGAGGCAGCAGUGGGGAAUAUUGCACAAUGGGCGCAAGCCUGAUUCAGCCAUGCCGGGUGGAUGAAGAAUGUCUUCGGGUUGUAAAGUACUUUCAGCGGGGAGGCGUUACCCGCAGAAGAAGCACCGGCUAACUCCGUGCCAGCAGCCGCGGUAAUUC